UUUCCGUAGGUGAACCUGCGGAAGGAUCAUUAUCGAAUCCUACCAGGGAGGGGAGGGAAGACGGAUGGAGGAGUCAAGGCUGUCGCCGGCAACGUGCACGCCCCUUUCUCUUUCGUGGAACCUCCCCUUUCUAGUUUACUUAUCCACCUGUGCACCCUUUGUAGGCCCUCGAAAGAGGAUCUACGUUUUCUCUAUAUACGCUUUUUGCUACGCAUGUCCAGAAUGUAUACAAACUUUACAACUUUCAGCAACGGAUCUCUUGGCUCUC
rnacentral:misc_RNA from 1 species